CGCCAAUAUGGCGCUUUGGGCCCGAAAAGCUGUCUAGUCAAAGAUUGGAAGAAGUUAAUUGGACUUCACGUUCUAGCGGCACUGAGGUAUAGAAUGCCUUCGUGCUCGGCUUACGGUUGCACUAACCGUUCACAAGACGCAAGGAAGAUCGGGGUGACAUUUCACAGAUUUCCGAAGGAUCCUCGGAGAGUCCGAGAAUGGGUGGUUCGGAUGAAGUGGGACAAGUGGACACCAACACCAAAUUCUCGUGUGUGCUCUCGCCAUUUUGAAGAGAAGUACUUGGACAGAAGUCAGGCGACAGUUCGUCUUCAUGAGAAGGCUGUGCCUACUAUCUUUUCAUUCCCUGCUCGCUUUCAGAAGAAGUCUGUUCCACGAAAGUUCCGCAAAAGGGAGGUGAGCGCUGGAAGCACAGAGAGUCCAGGAUCCGCUCCAGAGUCGAGUCCCGGCAAUGCAAGCAGCAUUAACAGGCCAACGCUAAAUGUUACUGCCAU